GGUUCAGAGUACAUGCGAAAUCGACAAAGCCCGUUUCGCCAACGAAUCAGCUCUACGGUUUUCCGAUCGAGGAACAAAAACGAAAGAGAUAGAGAUAAACACAGAGGCGAUUUGCAUGAUAUCAGUGACGAUACCGAAGAUCUCCUUGAUCUGGUGUUUAUUUUUGAUCGCUCUAAUGAGCUUCUGACAGUUGGAGCAGACUCUGAGUUCCGUGAUGUUGAGUUCUGCCGCUGCUAUGAGGCCCGAUCGAAGCGCCAGCGCUUCAGCCAUCAGAGGAGAAGAGACGUUGUCGACGAUUGCGGAUCCCUCACGAAGACUCGCUUCUGGCGAGUACGAGAUUAUCCAAGCGCUUCCUGCUUUCUUUGUAGUUGCGUCCCAGGAGGCGUCUGUAUAGCAUGUCGGGGUAGGGGUCUCCAGCCUUUCUCGUGAGGAAAGGUGGCGAUGAGUUCUUGGAGAGUUUCUGGAGAGAAGCUGGAGAAGAGGCAAUUGGUAGGGAUGAAAGUGAAGAUGGUGAUGACGGUGUUGAUUAUAGCUUUGGUCUAUAUGUAUAAUUAGAUCUGCACCAGACAUAGACACAUGACACACAAUAAAUAACUGAUCUCACAUUCUCACCUAACAUAUUGUAUAUGUAUCCCAACGAAUCUCCAUUUUCAUAUAUUUUUAUUUUGGAAACAGAAAAAUGCACAGCUAAUCUCACACCUAACAUACUGUAUAUACGUAUCUCAAACGAAUCUCCGUUUUUAUAUAUUUUAUUUACUAAAAAUAAACUAUACAUUUUUCAGUGA